rnacentral:rRNA from 1 species
GACGAACGCUGGCGGCGUGCCUAAUACAUGCAAGUCGAACGCUUCUUUCCUCCCGAGUUCUUGCACUCAAUUGGAAAGAGGAGUGGCGGACGGGUGAGUAACACGUGGGUAACCUACCCAUCAGAGGGGGAUAACACUUGGAAACAGGUGCUAAUACCGCAUAACAGUUUAUGCCGCAUGGCAUAAGAGUGAAAGGCGCUUUCGGGUGUCGCUGAUGGAUGGACCCGCGGUGCAUUAGCUAGUUGGUGAGGUAACGGCUCACCAAGGCCACGAUGCAUAGCCGACCUGAGAGGGUGAUCGGCCACACUGGGACGGAGACACGGCCCAGACUCCUACGGGAGGCAGCAGUAGGGAAUCUUCGGCAAUGGACGAAAGUCUGACCGAGCAACGCCGCGUGAGUGAAGAAGGUUUUCGGAUCGUAAAACUCUGUUGUUAGAGAAGAACAAGGACGUUAGUAACUGAACGUCCCCUGACGGUAUCUAACCAGAAAGCCACGGCUAACUACGUG